UUUAGGCAACCCCAAAAAACCAAGAUACUAAAAGCUAUGUUCUUCAAACCUAAAGGAUUUGGCGGUAAUUUAGUCCAGUUAGAGGAACCUGUUUGGUAAACGAUAAACCACGAAGAAUCUUGCCUGUUUUCAAAGUUUGUAUACCGUCAUUAUUAGAUAACUUUCUAUGAAAAAGUUAUUCCAAUAAAUUUUAUUUAAUAUAUUAGAUCAAGGUGCAGCCCAUAAACAGGUCUUAAUGGGUUACAAUAAAACUUACUUACUACGAAUACAAAAUAGAACUAUUUUGUUGAAGGAGGAUUUAAUAGUAAAAUUGGUUUAAUAAGCCUUUUUGAUAGUGGAUCUAAAUUGAGUACAUAUCGCCCGUCGCUUUCAUCCUAGAAAUGAAAUAAGUCGUAACAUAG
rnacentral:rRNA from 1 species